rnacentral:misc_RNA from 1 species
UACGGAGGGUGCAAGCGUUAAUCGGAAUUACUGGGCGUAAAGCGCGCGUAGGCGGCGUGGUCAGUUGUGUGUGAAAGCCCCGGGCUCAACCUGGGAAUUGCAUGCAAUACUGCCAGGCUGGAGUACGGUAGAGGGGGGUAGAAUUCCUAGUGUAGCGGUGAAAUGCGUAGAUAUUAGGAGGAAUACCAGUGGCGAAGGCGGCCCCCUGGACCGAUACUGACGCUGAGGUGCGAAAGCGUGGGGAGCAAACAGG